rnacentral:misc_RNA from 1 species
GAAAUGCGAUACGUGAUGCGAAUCGCAGAGAUCGGCGAGUCAUCCAAGUUUCGAACGCACCCUGCGCUCUUGGCAUUCCUGAGAGCACGUCCGUCUGAGCGUCGCCCCUUUACUUAUCACCUACCUCACUUGUGUUGGUAGUGUGGAUCUUGGACUACUCGCUAUUUCAGCGAAGUCCUGAGUGCAAAGUGACAUACCUGAGUGCAACAACACCAGCUUGAUCAGCUGAUGGUGUGGGUACUGUAUUAGCAUCGAGGGGUUCUGCCCUUCUCAGUCUAAUGCUUGGUGCCUUACCUAAUGUCGAACUAGUUAAGUGAUGUCCUCUCAGUCACACUGAAUGUAGUUUACAUAACUCUAUGGACCAACCUCAGAUCGGGCGACAUAACCCGCUGAACUUAA